AGUGAACGCUGGCGGCGUGCCUAAUACAUGCAAGUCGAACGGCGUGGCGCACGGGUGAGUAAUAUAUAGCUAAUCUGCCCCUUGCUGGAGGACAACAGUUAGAAAUGACUGCUAAUACUCCAUAGCAAGGGAUGAGACUAUAUCGUAUCAGCUAGUCGGUGGGGUAACGGCCUACCGAGGCUAUGACGCGUAACUGGUCUGAGAGGAUGAUCAGUCACAUUGGAACGGAGACACGGGACAAACGCAUACGGGAGGCAGCAGUAGGGAAUAGUGCGCAAUGGGGGAAACCCUGACGCAGCAACGCCGCGUGGAGGAUGACACUUUGCGGAGCGGAAACUCCUUUUGUUAGGGAAGCGGUACCUAACGAAGAAGCACCGGCUAACUCCGUGCCAGCAGCCGCGGUAAUUC
rnacentral:rRNA from 1 species